ensembl:lncRNA
AACAGACUUCUCCUUAUUCAAACUUCUGCCAAGCCAGCCUUUCAUUUUGCUUUCUUAAAUGGGACAAUUGAAGACAUGCUGACGUUAAGCGGGCCUUGGUUCAAAUGGAAGCUGGGUAACUAGCAGUUAUGUUGUUUAAAUCCUUUGCAGCUUCAAUUUCCUCAAGCCCCAAGGGGGAGAUGAGAGCUUCGCUCACUGCUUUGUAAUACUGGAUAUUGAAACUAGGAUACGUUCUUCCUUUGCCUUUUUCAACUGAUGCUACUGAUCAUGGUGACCUCAGGAUGAGUGGUAGUUUCUAAGGAGUGAUUCCUGGACAAUCUUUUACAGCCUUGCAAAGAAGAAAAAAGAAGAAAGAAAAAAGGAAGGAAGGAAGAGAAAAAGAAAGAAGGAAAGAAAGAAGAGAAAUGGAGUAAAUCAUUAGGCAGUAAAAAUAAUGAUAUUUAUUAUUUUACCAGUUAUAGGUGAC